rnacentral:tRNA from 1 species
GGCGUCGUGGCUUAGUUGGUUAAAGCGCCUGUCUAGUAAACAGGAGAUCGUGGGUUCGAAUCCCACCGAUGCCU